rnacentral:rRNA from 1 species
UACGUAGGUGGCAAGCGUUGUCCGGAUUUACUGGGCGUAAAGCGUGCGCAGGCGGUUCGCUGUGUCCGAUGUGAAAGCCCCGGGCUUAACCUGGGAAUGGCAUUGGAAACUGGCGGGCUUGAGUGCGGCAGAGGGGGGUGGAAUUCCGCGGUGUAGCAGUGAAAUGCGUAGAGAUGCGGAGGAACACCGAUGGCGAAGGCGGCGCUCUGGACCGAGACUGACGCUGAGGCGCGAAAGCGUGGGGAGCGAACGG